UGGAAAAAAUGAUAGGAGGUGAAUAGUUAAUAAACAUUUUAUGUUAUUAGUUGAAGGGUGGAGAAGGAUUCUACGCCGAUUUGCAAAGUCCAGCAACAUUUUAGUUCAGAUUUUUUCUGGUAAGAAAUAGAUUCAAAAUCGAUUAAGCUUCAAUUUGGUUUGACAGAGCUGCAAGUUCUGAGGAGAGAGCAUAUCAGAAAAAGACAGUUCACAGACAUUUGACAAAAAAAAAGAGUUGAAAUCAAGUAAGUGUUAAUUGGUUUGGUCGAGAUAGAAGGGAUGAAGGGACAGCAAAUCAGAGUCCACUGCAUUUAGUCCGAAUUUUUGGUUGAGAUCAUUAGGUUGUUAAUGGUUAAUGAAGCAGAAUAAAUCGGGUUUGCUUUCCCAGCUCGUGGGAGGAUUAGCUCAGAUCUGAUUGAAUCUCGAUUGAGAAAGAUUUUUGAGUAGGUUGCAUCAGAAACGCCCCAUCUCAAGCGAUGGAAUUCAAGAACAGAUCUGCGAGGUUUGUGCUCUUAUUUCCGUAUUCACUUUUUGAAGUUGUUUAAUUUGUAACAUACAAACAGAUGUUUGAAAUGACCCUAAAUUAUCUUCUGUAUCAUUUUUUUAUUGGAGAAAGAAGAGUUCAGUUACAAAUAAUACAGCUGUAACAACAGCAAUGCAACAGAAAAUAAAACAACUGCAACAUAAUUAUAUCUGCUGUAGCAGCAAACAUAAAACAGCUGCAACAUAAUCAUUUUUACAGGGAAAUAUUUGUUGGUUUAAUAUAGUAAAUCCUUUAUUUAUUAGGGGUAUUUUCAUAA